ensembl:snRNA U6 U6 spliceosomal RNA
GUACUCGUUUUGGCAGCACAUACACUAAAAUUGGAACACUACAGAGAAGAUUAGCAUGGCCCCUGUGCAAGGAUGACACGCAAACUUAUGAAGCACUCCAUAUUUUU